AGGACGAACGCUGGCGGCGUGCUUAACACAUGCAAGUCGAGCGGAAAGGCCCUUCGGGGUACUCGAGCGGCGAACGGGUGAGUAACACGUGAGUAAUCUGCCCCUAGCUCUGGGAUAGCUCCGGGAAACCGGGAUUAAUACCGGAUACGACCACUUUAGACAUCUGUUGUGGUGGAAAGAAUUUUGGCUAGGGAUGAGCUCGCGGCCUAUCAGCUUGUUGGUGGGGUAAUGGCCUACCAAGGCGACGACGGGUAGCCGGCCUGAGAGGGCGACCGGCCACACUGGGACUGAAACACGGUCCAGACUCCUACGGGAGGCAGCAGUGGGAAUUUUGCGCAAUGGGGGAAACCCUGACGCAGCAACGCCGCGUGGAGGAUGAAGCCCCUUGGGGCGUAAACUCCUUUCGAUCGGGAAGAUAAUGACGGUACCGAGAGAAGAAGCCCCGGCUAACUUCGUGCCAGCAGCCGC
rnacentral:rRNA from 1 species